rnacentral:rRNA from 1 species
AGUGAACGCUGGCGGUAGGCCUAACACAUGCAAGUCGAACGGCAGCACAGUAAGAGCUUGCUCUUACGGGUGGCGAGUGGCGGACGGGUGAGGAAUACAUCGGAAUCUACUUUUUCGUGGGGGAUAACGUAGGGAAACUUACGCUAAUACCGCAUACGACCUACGGGUGAAAGCAGGGGAUCUUCGGACCUUGCGCGAUUGAAUGAGCCGAUGUCGGAUUAGCUAGUUGGCGGGGUAAAGGCCCACCAAGGCGACGAUCCGUAGCUGGUCUGAGAGGAUGAUCAGCCACACUGGAACUGAGACACGGUCCAGACUCCUACGGGAGGCAGCAGUGGGGAAUAUUGGACAAUGGGCGCAAGCCUGAUCCAGCCAUACCGCGUGGGUGAAGAAGGCCUUCGGGUUGUAAAGCCCUUUUGUUGGGAAAGAAAAGCAGCAGGUUAAUACCCCGCUGUUCUGACGGUACCCAAAGAAUAAGCACCGGCUAACGUC